ACGCUUGUCUCAAGAUUAUUUAUGCCUGUCUAAGUAUAAACUUUUAUACUGUGAAACUGCGAAUGGCUCAUUAAAUCAGUUAUCGUCUAUUUGAUUGUGCCCUUACUACAUGGAUAACCGUAUUAAUUCUAGAGCUAAUACAUGCGAAAAGUCCCGACUUCUGGAAGGGAUGUAUUUAUUAGAUUAAAAACCAAUGCGUUUAACGACGCUUUUCGGUGAAUCAUAAUAACUGUUCGAAUCGCAUGGCCCUCGUGCCGGCGAUGUUUCAUUCCAGUUUCUGCCCUAUCAACUUUCGAUGGUAAGGUAUUGGCUUACCGUGGGGACAACGGGUAACGGAGAAUUAGGGUUCGAUUCCGGAGAGGGAGCCCGAGAAACGGAUACCACAUCCAAGGAAGGCAACAGGGGAGCACAAUACCCAAUCCCGAUUCGGGUAGGUAGUGACAAUAAAUAACGUUGCAGGCGCCAACGGCUUCUGCAGUCGGAAUGAGUACAAUAUAACACCCUUAACGAGGAACAAUUGGAGGGCAAGUCUGGUGCCAGCAGCCGCGGUAAUUCCAGCUCCAAUAGCGGAUAUUAAAGUUGUUGCAGUUAAAAAGCUCGCCUUGGAUUUCGGAACCGGCCGAUUGGUCCCGUCCUCUGGAUCGUGUACUGAUCGGGCUGUUCUUCUUCCCGAAGACCGCGUGUGCCCCUUAACUGGGUGGGCGUGGGAUUCGCGACGUUUACUUUGAAAAAAAUUAGAGUGUUCAAAGCAUGCAGUCGCUUGAAUAUCUCAGCAUGGAACAGAUAGAAUAGGACUUUGGUCUUAUUUUGUUGGGUUCCGAGACCGAGUAAUGGAUUAAUAGGGACAGUUGGGGGGCAUUCGUAUUUCAUUGACAAAGGUGAAAUUCUCGGAAUUAAUGAAAGACGAACCUCCGCGAAAGCAUUUGCCAAGGAUGUUUUUCAUUAAUCAAGACCGAAAGUUUGGAGGCUCGAAACACUGAUCAGAUUACCGUCCAUAAUCUCCAAACCCUAGAACGACUGGCCGCUCUGGCGGGAUCGGAUGGUUCAGCUCUAAUUUUAAGGGCUUCACCUUUC
rnacentral:rRNA from 1 species